CAGUCGCCGCGGGAAUACGUAGGGGGCAAGCGUUAUCCGGAGUUACUGGGUGUAAAGGGAGCGUAGACGGUUAAACAAGUCUGAAGUGAAAUGCCGGGGCUCAACCCCGGAGCUGCUUUGGGAACUGUAGAACUGGAGUGUCGGAGGGGUAAGCGGAAUUCCCAGUGUAGCGGUGAAAUGCGUAGAUAUUGGGAGGAACACCGGCGGCGAAGGCGGCUUACUGGACGACAACUGACGUUGAGGCUCGAAGGCGUGGGUAGCAAACAGGAUUAGAUACCCCGGUAGUCCCUGUCUCUUAUAC
rnacentral:rRNA from 1 species